GGGCAAUUGGUCUAGGGGUUAGUACUUUCAGCCCGUUUUUUCAUCAUCCAUUUAACAUAAAUUCAGGUAUGACGCAAAGUUCGCAAGAACUUCUUUGAGGUCCCGGGUUCGAUUCCCGGAUUGUCCA